rnacentral:rRNA from 1 species
AGAGUUUGAUCCUGGCUCAGAGCGAACGCUGGCGGCAGGCUUAACACAUGCAAGUCGAGCGGGCGUAGCAAUACGUCAGCGGCAGACGGGUGAGUAACGCGUGGGAACAUACCUUUUGGUUCGGAACAACACAGGGAAACUUGUGCUAAUACCGGAUAAGCCCUUACGGGGAAAGAUUUAUCGCCGAAAGAUUGGCCCGCGUCUGAUUAGCUAGUUGGUGAGGUAACGGCUCACCAAGGCGACGAUCAGUAGCUGGUCUGAGAGGAUGAUCAGCCACAUUGGGACUGAGACACGGCCCAAACUCCUACGGGAGGCAGCAGUGGGGAAUAUUGGACAAUGGGCGAAAGCCUGAUCCAGCCAUGCCGCGUGAGUGAUGAAGGCCCUAGGGUUGUAAAGCUCUUUUGUGCGGGAAGAUAAUGACGGUACCGCAAGAAUAAGCCCCGGCUAACUUCGUGCCAGCAGCCGCGGUAAUACGAAGGGGGCUAGCGUUGCUCGGAAUCACUGGGCGUAAAGGGUGCGUAGGCGGGUUUUUAAGUCAGAGGUGAAAUCCUGGAGCUCAACUCCAGAACUGCCUUUGAUACUGAGAAUCUUGAGUUCGGGAGAGGUGAGUGGAACUGCGAGUGUAGAGGUGAAAUUCGUAGAUAUUCGCAAGAACACCAGUGGCGAAGGCGGCUCACUGGCCCGAUACUGACGCUGAGGCACGAAAGCGUGGGGAGCAAACAGGAUUAGAUACCCUGGUAGUC